GCACAACAUUCUGUCUCUCCCAAAGGAGAGGAGCUGGGAAAAUCUGUGUGUGGCUCUAGCUGGCUCUAGAAGAUUAAUGGCUGAGGAGUGAAGAGGACAAAUGCAGGCAGGGGUACUGCUGUGGAGCAGAAUCACCAGGAGGCCUGGACAAUGAGGAAAUGGAGAGAAAAAAGAAAUUGAGACUGAAGUGGUUUAUGUACAAUGCCAAAGCUCCCACACGUAGUGCAUGGAAAAGGAGCCCUCAGAACCUGGGCUUUUCGAACUACAGCUAUGUCAUUGGAGGAAAGAGAACAGCUCAGCUCUCCAAAUUGCAGUAACUGUUGAGCUAAGGUGAUGACGUCAAGGGGAAGCUAUUCCUGAUUUUACUCCAAGGUGGCUUUCCCAAGACCAGAACCAGCUCAUGAAAAAAGAGCCCAAUCAGGAAAGGGUGGUUAGACUCUAAUCACCCUGGGCAGUCCCUGCCUCUUCUCCUUGGUGCUCCUCAUUCCCCUGCAGAUGAAUGUACUUCCAGCUGGACUUAAGAGAAGCAACGGUGUCAAACAACGACUCAUUAAGAAAUACACACCUGUCAUAAACGCAAGACCCUCUCAGGGGAGAUAUUGAAUUGUGUUCCCUGCUUCCUAUGAAAAGGUGUCAGAGCCAUGAUCCAUCCAUACCCUGCCUGAAGACUGAAAAUGGUGUGGUCAAGUGGAAACAGCAGAGAUUCUGCAAGCAAGAGAACUGGAGUUUGUGUUUGGAUUCUCUUUUUCCACUUCCUUGCUUUGGACAAGGCACUACAUCUCUCAGAACCCUUGCUUCCUUGGCUCUCUGAGGGCAUGCACUCAGGAGUUUGCUGACACAGAGAAUGACAUGAUGAAUUCUGCUUAAAAGAAAGGGGUAUGAGAGAUACGAUCUCAGGAAGCUAAGAUGUGGAAAAGAAUCUUAAAAGGUGAGGGAAGACUAGAUCAUUGGAAACACCCCUCCAAUGAGGGACAAACUGGACAAGCUGUUUAAAACAACUUGUUGAGAAAAGCUGGAAAAGUUGUUUAAAACAGCUGCUUUAAGGCAUUGAACUGCUAACAAGGGAUUAAACAACUUUAACU
rnacentral:lncRNA from 10 species